rnacentral:misc_RNA from 1 species
CAGAAAGAGAAGGAAAGUUUUUAUUCGAGAAGCAUGGAGGUUAUUACGGCAUGUUUUUAGCUGAGAACUACAACUUUUAAUGUAAAUAUGAUUUCGUGUCAAAAUUUGUUCGUACUCCGCGGGCAACUGCCGGCGAUCCGCUGCUGCCGCAGGUACCAACAGCACUUACGGACAACUCUGAAACACAGCUCCAGCUUCUCGGCCUGGGGCCCCACGGCAGCGCCGAGUAUAUCGCACGCGUCCGCGUCCAAAUUGUCAUUGCUGGGACUUAGGACACGCGAUGAUGGACGGCACACAGUCCGCAGUUUUUACACCUCCAGCCGCAUGCUGGCCAAAGACUACUACACGACACUGGGGGUGGCCAAGAACGCCAAUGGGAAGGAUAUCAAGAAGGCCUACUAUCAGCUGGCCAAGAAGUACCAUCCGGACACCAACAAGGAGGACCCGGAUGCCGGUCGCAAAUUCCAGGAGGUCUCCGAGGCCUACGAGGUGCUCAGCGAUGAUCAGAAGCGGCGUGAGUACGACACCUACGGCCAGACGGCGGAGAACAUGAGUCGUCAGGGUGGCGGAUUCGGUGGCGGCGGCGGCGGAGCAGGACCCUUCGGACCCGAGGGCUUCUCACAGAGCUGGCAGUUCCGCUCGACCAUCGAUCCCGAGGAGCUGUUCCGCAAGAUUUUCGGCGAGGGAAACUUCCGCACCAACAGUUUCGACGACUUCGCCGACUCCAAGUUCGGUUUCGGCCAGGCUCAGGAGAUGGUCAUGGACUUGACCUUCGCCCAGGCAGCUCGCGGCGUCAAUAAGGAUGUGAAUGUCAAUGUGGUGGACGAGUGCCCCAAGUGCGCCGGCUCCAAGUGCGAGCCGGGCACAAAGCCGGGCCGCUGCCAGUACUGUAACGGCACAGGCUUCGAGACCAUCUCGACGGGACCCUUCGUCAUGCGUUCCACGUGCCGCUACUGCCAGGGCACGCGCCAGUACAUCAAGUAUCCGUGCAGCGAGUGCGAGGGCAAGGGAAAGACUGUGCAGCGCCGCAAGGUGACUGUACCGGUGCCGGCGGGCAUCGAGAACGGACAAACGGUGCGCAUGCAGGUGGGCAGCAAGGAACUGUUUGUGACCUUCCGAGUGGAACGGAGCGACUACUUCCGCCGUGACGGGGCCGACGUACACACAGACGUGGCCAUCUCGGUGUCACAGUCCGUCCUGGGCGGCACUGUACGCGUCCAGGGCGUCUACGAGGACCAGUGGAUUAACAUUGAACCGGGCACCUCCUCCCACCACAAGCACACGUUGCGAGGCAAGGGCCUUAAGCGGGUAAACGCUCACGGCCAUGGCGAUCACUAUGUACACAUCAAAAUUGAUGUGCCGCGGAAGCUGAGCAAGGAGCAGCGCGCACUCAUCGAGGCCUUCGCCGAGCUGGAGCUGGACACGCCAGGCAAGAUCCACGGCGUCACCCAGACAAAAAAUGGCAGUAAGAAAGCAACGUAAAUACACCCUAGCAGAUAGAAACUCAAUUUCGCAAGUCAAUUCUCAAUCUCAUUGCCCAAUGCAGCAUCUAAUGUAAUUGGAGCUUCAAUUCGCAGUUCAAAUAUAUGUGCGAGUGAACAAUCCGGAGCUGUUGGAGGCGGAGCAGCCAAAGGAACCAGCAAAGAAAGCACAAGCGAAACCAAGGAACAGCA